UACAGAGGGUGCGAGCGUUGUUCGGAAUUAUUGGGCGUAAAGCGCACGUAGGCGGCUUUGCAAGUCGGAUGUGAAAUCCCUCGGCUUAACCAAGGAAGUGCAUCCGAAACUGCAGAGCUUGAGUACUUAAGAGGAUCGCGGAAUUCCCGGUGUAGAGGUGAAAUUCGUAGAUAUCGGGAGGAACACCAGUGGCGAAGGCGGCGAUCUGGGAAGAUACUGACGCUGAGGUGCGAAAGCGUGGGGAGCAAACAGG
rnacentral:rRNA from 1 species